rnacentral:rRNA from 1 species
CCUGGGAACUGCGUUNUGAACUGGGUGACUAGAGUGUNUCAGAGGGAGGUAGAAUUCCACGUGUAGCAGUGAAAUGCGUAGAGAUGUGGAGGAAUACCGAUGGCGAAGGCAGCNUCCUGGGAUAACACUGACGUUCAUGCCCGAAAGCGUGGGUAGCAAACAGGAUUAGAUACCCUGGUAGUCCACGCCCUAAACGAUGUCGAUUAGCUGUUGGGCAGCAUGACUGCUUGGUAGCGAAGCUAACGCGUGAAAUCGACCGCCUGGGGAGUACGGUCGCAAGAUUAAAACUCAAAGGAAUUGACGGGGACCCGCACAAGCGGUGGAUGAUGUGGAUUAAUUCGAUGCAACGCGAAGAACCUUACCUGGUCUUGACAUGUACGGAACCCUCCAGAGACGGAGGGGUGCCUUCGGGAGCCAUAACACAGGUGCUGCAUGGCUGUCGUCAGCUCGUGUCGUGAGAUGUUGGGUUAAGUCCCGCAACGAGCGCAACCCUUGUCAUUAGUUGCCAUCAUUAAGUUGGGCACUCUAAUGAGACUGCCGGUGACAAGCCGGAGGAAGGUGGGGAUGACGUCAAGUCCUCAUGGCCCUUAUGACCAGGGCUUCACACGUCAUACAAUGGUCGGUACAGAGGGUAGCCAAGCCGCGAGGUGGAGCCAAUCUCACAAAACCGAUCGUAGUCCGGAUUGCACUCUGCAACUCGAGUGCAUGAAGUCGGAAUCGCUAGUAAUCGCAGGUCAGCAUACUGCGGUGAAUACGUUCCCGGGUCUUGUACACAC